UACGUAGGGGGCAAGCGUUGUCCGGAAUCAUUGGGCGUAAAGAGCGUGUAGGCGGUCCGAUAAGUCCGCUGUGAAAUCUCGAGGCUCAACUUCGAGCUGUCGGUGGAAACUGUCUGGCUAGAGUCCGGAAGAGGAGAAUGGAAUUCCUGGUGUAGCGGUGAAAUGCGCAGAUAUCAGGAAGAACACCCGUGGCGAAGGCGGUUCUCUGGGACGGUACUGACGCUGAGACGCGACAGCGUGGGGAGCAAACAGG
rnacentral:rRNA from 1 species